UACGUAGGGUGCGAGCGUUAAUCGGAAUUACUGGGCGUAAAGCGUGCGCAGGCGGUUUUGUAAGACAGAUGUGAAAGCCCCGGGCUCAACCUGGGAACUGCGUUUGGGACUGCAAAGCUAGAGUGUGGCAGAGGGGGGUGGAAUUCCGCGUGUAGCAGUGAAAUGCGUAGAUAUGCGGAGGAACACCGAUGGCGAAGGCAGCCCCCUGGG
rnacentral:rRNA from 1 species